rnacentral:rRNA from 1 species
AUUGAACGCUGGCGGCAGGCCUAACACAUGCAAGUCGAGCGGCGCGGCGGACGGGUGAGUAAUGCCUAGGAAUCUGCAUGGUAGUGGGGUAUACCGUCCGGAGACGGGCGCUAAUACCGCAUACUAUCAGAUGAGUCUCGGUUGGAUUAGCUAGUUGGUGGGGUAAAGGCCUACCAAGUCGACGAUCCGUAACUGGUCUGAGAGGAUGAUCAGUCACACUGGAACUGAGACACGGUCCAGACUCCUACGGGAGGCAGCAGUGGGGAAUAUUGGACAAUGGGCGAAAGUCUGACCCAGCAACGCCGCGUGUGUGAAGAAGGUCUUCGGAUUGUAAAGCUCUUUAAGUUGGGAGGCGUUACCAACAGAAUAAGCACCGGCUAACUACGUGCCAGCAGCCGCGGUAAUAC